AGCAGCGUGGCUCAGUGGAAAGAGCAUGGGCUUGGGAGUCAGAGGUCAUGGGUUCAAAUCCCAACUCAACUU
rnacentral:tRNA from 1 species